rnacentral:rRNA from 1 species
AGAGUUUGAUCAUGGCUCAGAACGAACGCUGGCGGCGUGCUUAACACAUGCAAGUCGAACGCGAAAGGGACUUCGGUCCUGAGUAGAGUGGCGCACGGGUGAGUAACGCGUAGAUAAUCUGUCCUUGUGUCUGGAAUAAUACGUCGAAAGGUGUACUAAUACCGGAUAUUCUUGCUUUUCAUACGAUAGGUAAGCAAAGGUGGCCUCUGACAUAAGCUACUGCAUAAGGAGGAGUCUGCGUACCAUUAGCUAGUAGGUGGGGUAAUGGCCCACCUAGGCUUCGAUGGUUAACGGGUCUGAGAGGAUGAUCCGUCACACUGGCACUGGAACACGGGCCAGACUCCUACGGGAGGCAGCAGUGAGGAAUAUUGCGCAAUGGGGGCAACCCUGACGCAGCGACGCCGCGUGAGUGAGGAAGGCCUUCGGGUCGUAAAGCUCUGUCAAAGGGAAAGAAGUGCAUGGUGGUUAAUACCCACCAUGUUUGACGGUACCCUUAAAGGAAGCACCGGCUAACUCCGUGCCAGCAGCCGCGGUAAUACGGAGGGUGCAAGCGUUGUUCGGAAUUACUGGGCGUAAAGGGCGCGUAGGCGGCUUGAUAAGUCAGAUGUGAAAGCCCACGGCUUAACCGUGGAAGUGCAUUUGAUACUGUCAGGCUUGAGUACCAGAGGGGAAAGUGGAAUUCCCGGUGUAGAGGUGAAAUUCGUAGAUAUCGGGAGGAAUACCGGUGGCGAAGGCGACUUUCUGGCUGGAUACUGACGCUGAGGCGCGAAA